UGGGGAAUUUUGGACAAUGGGGGAAACCCUGAUCCAGCCAUCCCGCGUGUGCGAUGAAGGCCUUCGGGUUGUAAAGCACUUUUGGCAGGAAAGAAACGUCAUGGGCUAAUACCCCGUGAAACUGACGGUACCUGCAGAAUAAGCACCGGCUAACUACGUGCCAGCAGCCGCGGUAAUACGUAGGGUGCAAGCGUUAAUCGGAAUUACUGGGCGUAAAGCGUGCGCAGGCGGUUCGGAAAGAAAGAUGUGAAAUCCCAGAGCUCAACUUUGGAACUGCAUUUUUAACUACCGGGCUAGAGGGUGUCAGAGGGAGGUGGAAUUCCGCGUGUAGCAGUGAAAUGCGUAGAUAUGCGGAGGAACACCGAUGGCGAAGGCAGCCUCCUGGGAUAACACUGACGCUCAUGCACGAAAGCGUGGGGAGCAAACAGG
rnacentral:rRNA from 1 species